GAUGAACGCUGGCGGCGUGCCUAAUACAUGCAAGUCGAGCGAACAGACGAGGAGCUUGCUCCUCUGACGUUAGCGGCGGACGGGUGAGUAACACGUGGAUAACCUACCUAUAAGACUGGGAUAACUUCGGGAAACCGGAGCUAAUACCGGAUAAUAUAUUGAACCGCAUGGUUCAAUAGUGAAAGACGGUUUUGCUGUCACUUAUAGAUGGAUCCGCGCCGCAUUAGCUAGUUGGUAAGGUAACGGCUUACCAAGGCAACGAUGCGUAGCCGACCUGAGAGGGUGAUCGGCCACACUGGAACUGAGACACGGUCCGGACUCCUACGGGAGGCAGCAGUAGGGAAUCCUCCGCAAUGGGCAAAAGCUUGACGGAGCAACGCCGCGUGAGUGAUGAAGGUCUUCGGAUCGUAAAACUCUGUUAUUAGGGAAGAACAAAUGUGUAAGUAACUAUGCACGUCUUGACGGUACCUAAUCAGAAAGCCACGGCUAACUACGUG
rnacentral:rRNA from 1 species